AUUGAACGCUGGCGGCAUGCCUUACACAUGCAAGUCGAACGGCAGCAUAGGAGCUUGCUCCUGAUGGCGAGUGGCGAACGGGUGAGUAAUAUAUCGGAACGUGCCCUAGAGUGGGGGAUAACUAGUCGAAAGAUUAGCUAAUACCGCAUACGAUCUAAGGAUGAAAGUGGGGGAUCGCAAGACCUCAUGCUCGUGGAGCGGCCGAUAUCUGAUUAGCUAGUUGGUGGGGGAAAAGCUCACCAAGGCGACGAGCAGUAGAUGGUCUGAGAGGACGACCGACCACACGGGGACUGAGACAAGGCCCAGACUCCUACGGGAGGCAGCAGUGGGGAAUUUUGGACAAUGGGGGCAACCCUGAUCCAGCAAUGCCGCGUGAGUGAAGAAGGCCUUCGGGUUGUAAAGCUCUUUUGUCAGGGAAGAAACGGUGAGAGCUAAUAUCUCUUGCUAAUGACGGUACCUGAAGAAUAAGCACCGGCUAACUACGUGCCAGCAGCCGCCGCAG
rnacentral:rRNA from 1 species